rnacentral:rRNA from 1 species
AGCAGCCGCGGUAAUUCCAGCUCCAAUAGCGUAUAUUAAAGUUGUUGCAGUUAAAAAGCUCGUAGUUGAAUUUCGGGAUCAAUAUGUUGGUCGUGCCAUUGGUACGUACUGGUAUCAUUGAUUUCUCCUUUCUGACGAACCAUGAUGUCAUUAAUUUGGUGUUAUGGGGAGUUAGGACUGUUACUUUGAAAAAAUUAGAGUGUUUAAAGCAGGCAUUAGCUUGAAUACAUUAGCAUGGAGUAAUGAAAUAGGACGUUUGACCCUAUUUUGUUGGUUUCUAGGAUCGACGUAAUGAUUAAUAGGGAUAGUUGGGGGCAUUAGUAUUCAAUUGUCAGAGGUGAAAUUCUUGGAUUUAUUGAAGACUAACUACUGCGAAAGCAUUUGCCAAGGAUGUUUUCAUUAAUCAAGAACGAAAGUUAGGGGAUCGAAGACGAUCAGAUACCGUCGUAGUCUUAACCAUAAACUAUGCCGACUAGGGAUCGGAUGAUGUUAAUUUUUUAAUGACUCA